AAAAAAGUUAUGAUUAGAGCCAGUAGUUGGUGAAAUGGUGAUAAGAGAUUGGAAUUCAAAGGCUGGGAAAUUCCAACACCCAAUACACGAAUGAACCUACUCUAAGAACUGUUAAGAAUAAACUUAAUCGUCGCUCUGCGUUAAAGAGGUAAGUGGAUCGUAUCUAAAAAUAUGAUCAACCUAAGGUGGUACCGCGGAAAAGACUCUUUUCGUCCUUUGU
rnacentral:ncRNA from 1 species